rnacentral:tRNA from 2 species
GGGCCCGUAGUCUAGCCUGGUUAGGACGCCGGCCUUACAAGCCGGAGGUCGCCGGUUCAAGUCCGGCCGGGCCCA